GAGCACCGCUGGGUAGCUACGUAUGGAUUAGAUAAUCGCUGAAAGCAUCUAAGUGAGAAACUAACCUCGAGAUGAGAUUUCCCAUUCGUCAGAAGUAAGACCCCUGAGAGACGAUCAGGUAGAUAGGCUAGAAGUGGAAGUGUAGUGAUGCAUGGAGCGGACUAGUACUAAUAGGUCGAGGACUUAACCAAG
rnacentral:rRNA from 1 species